rnacentral:rRNA from 1 species
UAAAUUGACGGUACCUGAUGAAUAAGCUCCGGCUAACUACGUGCCAGCAGCCGCGGUAAUACGUAGGGAGCGAGCGUUAUCCGGAAUUAUUGGGCGUAAAGGGUGCGUAGAUGGCAGAUAAAGUCUAUUGUAAAAGUGCUAGGCUCAACCUAGUGAGGCAAUAGAAACUAAUAAGCUAGAGUACAGAAGAGGCAAGUGGAAUUCCAUGUGUAGCGGUAAAAUGCGUAAAUAUAUGGAGGAACACCAGUGGCGAAGGCGGCUUGCUGGUCUGAUACUGACAUUGAGGCACGAAAGCGUGGGGAGCAAACAGGAUUAGAUACCCUGGUAGUCCACGCCCUAAACGAUGAGUACUAAGUGUAGCCGUAAGGCUGUGCUGAAGUUAACGCAUUAAGUACUCCGCCUGAGUAGUACGUACGCAAGUAUGAAACUUAAAGGAAUUGACGGGAGCCCGCACAAGCGGUGGAGCAUGUUGUUUAAUUCGACGAUACGCGAAGAACCUUACCAGGUCUUGACAUCUGAUGCAAAGUUAUAGAGAUAUAAUGGAGGUUAGCAUCAAGACAGGUGGUGCAUGGUUGUCGUCAGCUCGUGUCGUGAGAUGUUGGGUUAAGUCCCGCAACGAGCGCAACCCUUAUUUCUAGUUACCAUCAUUAAGUUGGGGACUCUAGAGAGACUGCCAUUGAUAAAAUGGAGGAAGGUGGGGAUGACGUCAAAUCAUCAUGCCCUAUAUGACCUGGGCUACAAACGUGCUACAAUGGCUGGAACAAAGAGAAGCAAAACCGCGAGGUAGAGCGAACCUCAAAAAAACAGUCUCAGUUCGGAUUGAAGUCUGCAACUCGACUUCAUGAAGUUGGAAUCGCUAGUAAUCGCGAAUCAGAAUGUCGCGGUGAAUACGUUCCCGGGCUUUGCACUCAACGCCCGUCAA